UCACCGGUGGCUCAGAUGGUAAAGCAUCUGCCUGCAAUGCAGGAGACCCAGGUUCGACCCCCGGGUUGGGAA
rnacentral:tRNA from 1 species